rnacentral:rRNA from 1 species
GAUGAACGCUGGCGGCGUGCCUAAUACAUGCAAGUCGAGCGAACGGACGAGAAGCUUGCUUCUCUGAUGUUAGCGGCGGACGGGUGAGUAACACGUGGAUAACCUACCUAUAAGACUGGGAUAACUUCGGGAAACCGGAGCUAAUACCGGAUGAUAUUUUGAACCGCAUGGUUCAAAAGUGAAAGACGGUCUUGCUGUCACUUAUAGAUGGAUCCGCGCUGCAUUAGCUAGUUGGUAAGGUAACGGCUUACCAAGGCAACGAUGCAUAGCCGACCUGAGAGGGUGAUCGGCCACACUGGAACUGAGACACGUUCCAGACUCCUACGGGAGGCAGCAGUAGGGAAUCUUCCGCAAUGGGCGAAAGCCUGACGGAGCAACGCCGCGUGAGUGAUGAAGGUCUUCGGAUCGUAAAACUCUAUUAUUAGGGAAGAACAUAUGUGUAAGUAACUGUGCACAUCUUGACGGUACCUAAUCAGAAAGCCACGGCUAACUACGUG